rnacentral:lncRNA from 1 species
GCAAUUUAGCGCUGGUGUUCCCAUGGCAACCGUGUGGGCUCGAAGGAGAAGACGCAGCCAGCCUGACAGCCAGCCAGCCAGCCAGCCGGCGGUUGCUAGGGGAACUCGGGCCGCUAGCCGCGUGACUUCACUCAAGUCCCAGUGUUUAGCAAAAAGGAAGAGAAAGGAAAGAAAAAGGACAGAGAGUGGGCCACUAUCACAUUUAACAAAUACAAGCCCAUAGAUCCUUACUGAAGGAACCCACAGCUACAAGCAGGAAAAAUAACAGGAAAAAUGACCUUGCAUCUCCUAAUACAUGCCAUAUCUCAGAGCCUGGGCUCAGUGCCACCCUUGUUCCUACUUGCCUUUGCUGGAUCGGUCCUAAAUAAAUAAACAAAUAAAUAAAGCA